AACAGUUGUUCCUAGUGUAAACGGGCCUUUAGAACAACAGUUGAUAGAGACAAUGAAUGCCAACUGUUAUGAAUGAGACCAUGAACGCUAGGUAAUUGUACAUAAAUUUAAGGAAAUUAUGUUAAUUUUAUUGUUUCAUAAUAUUCUUUAAUUUGAAAGGUAUUUGUGCGAUGCUCAGGUUAAAUAAUCACCAGGUCACCGAGUGGAUAGAAGUUCAAGUGCAGCAUUUUCAGGGGGAUUGCAUCAUUGCAUCAGGUAAUAUUUUUUAAUGAACUAUUUCUAUUAUAAAUGUUGUGCAGGGCUACUGAACAAUUAAGUAUGGCUUUAAGUUGGUCAACAACUGUAUUACGGUGUGCAUGUCUUUUGUGAUGAGUGUGAACUCGAUCUUUCGUGAGAGUGCGUGACGUGUUUGACAGAUGAGAGGUGCCAGAAUGCUUUGGGGUUAUUGAAAAUUACAAGAUUUAAUGCUAACGGAUAUUAUUUCCAUUAUUAAAUCAUCAGAGGCGGCAAUGGAUGUAGUACUUUUGUGCUUGAAGAAGAGCUAGAAACAUAAAAAUUACUCUGAAUAGUAGAUCUUUCCCAUUUGCGUCUAAUGCUUGACGGUCUAUUGGUAUGAGUUUACUAUCUAAUGAUGUAAUAAUAUUUAUUGAUCAUUAAAUAAUAAUGGAUUAUUCAUACAUCACUGCUGAUACAAAACUAACAUUUUAAUGGCACAACUGUGUACUCUCCAAAUAUUACACAUUUCAAUUUCGAUGUCGAUGACUCCCGUAAUUGUAUUGUUUAACGGUCGAGAAUUGCUUAGACAUAUGAUGACCGAACUUUUACAAGCACAUGCAAACAGGAUUGCUGCGCUAUCCUUCGAUUCAAGAUUGUUUUCAAAUGACGAUAGAUUUUAAAAGAAUCGAUUAUUCCCAGAGAAGAGAAGGAAUGCACAGUGAGGACGCUGACGCUAUAAUCAUUAGCGUAUUACGCAAAUUUUGUUCUGUACAUAAUGCGGUAAUAACUUGUGUAAACGGGUUAACAAAGUUUUAUUUAUUGUGUACUGCUUAAAUGUUUUCACGUGUGUGAUUUUGCGAGAAAUUUUGUUCUAACUGCAGUGAGUAUAAACUUGAACAAUAUGAACGCAGCGAAAUUUAAAUUGAAGUGAUGUUCAUUGAAUGGCAAUCAAUAAACCUACCUACCAACGAAGUAUUUCCAUAGCAGUGAUGACUUAUGCUGUCUGUGUUUCAGCAUUUUUUUUAUCAUGAACUUUAUCUAUACAUGGUGGACUAAGGCUGAUCACGGGAUUAAGAGUACUGGCCUAAUCUUUAGGUCCAAAUCUUCAUUUUCAGCUUUUGGUUUAAUAAAGAAUACGAAGUCCAUCAACACAUUUGUGGCUUGGUCAAAAGCCACACACAUUUCUUUUUCGAUAGCUUUGAUGUUAAUAAGUAUAUUAAAUAUUUAAGUUAUGUAUAGUGUGAAUUUGAUUGAUCAAAGCGGAGGAUAGCUGCAAACAAAGCAUGAAAAAAUGCAAAGCAACACUUUCUAGAAUUCUAAGCUCCUGUAUGAGACGAUCAAUGUACUUUUAAUAAUGAUGAAUUGUUGAAAAGACCCGCUUUUGUUCAUAUUUAGCUUGCUUACGCCAACGAUAUCUUAAUUAAUUUUUGUUGCUUUUGCUGCAAAUAAAUAUAAUCUAACGGAGGCUCAGACGUCAUCUGAUGGCCGGGUCGUCACGGCUUGGCUGAUGGUUCUCGAGAAAGAUUGUUGCUGUAAUGGAGAGCUUCUCUCGAAUUUAAUUUUCUACUUAUUCUAUUCAACAUCGCGGACUGUUGAUUAUCGGGAUAACAAUGACCGAUUAAUUUUUUUUCUACAUUCGAUUAUAUCUGUAUUUCGUUUUACGAAAAUAACGACUAUUGUCUAUUCGAUUUUUUUCGCUAAAGAAUGACAUUUAGUGCACCCAAAUUCCCCGUGGGGAAUUAUGAUGGAAUUGUGUUGGAAAGAGACAUGUUUUUGUUGACUUGUUUUUGGUAUUUUGUUAGUGUUAAGAAUAAUAAACUGUAUUUUUAAUGUAACUCUUAAUUGCCAACGGUGCAAACCGUCGGAUGACCUUAUAAUAUGAAUGACACUUCUUUCUUGACGUGGCCAUUAUGGCUGAAAUAAAGUUUGUAAAGCAG